GCUCCGGCGCCCGCUUCCCUCCAUCUUGCCUCCCGCAGAGUGCCCUCGUGCCUGCUCUCGCACAGCAAGGCCGGGUGACCUCAGCGACGUGAGGAGAUAGUGGAAGUGGGUAAACCGCGUUCCCGAGAAUUCGUCUCUGGGGCCUCAGGGCAGGUUGGACUUUUGCCACUUCCUGCAGCCCACAGACGUUUAUUGAGCACCUACUAGAUCUAUCAGAUAUAGGGGAAAAAAUGCAGCAGCCUCACCCAGAUUCUGCUAUGCCUACAAUGCUGCAUCUGAAAGACUGAAGAGGUCCAGGACUCACUAGAAGUCCACAAGUGGCGCCCGAACAGGGACCUGAAGGGGACCUCCCACUAAAGGGAUGAGGUGACAACGUCUGCAGUGGAAGUUUACAUAAGGUGGUGAGUAAACAAGGGGAAGAAUA